AUGUCGCCCGCUGACGUUGCAGAGAACCUGAUGCCCAUGUCGAAGAAGAAAAAGAGGGACCCGGAUGUGUGCUUGAGAGGCCUAACCGAGGCGCUCAAGCAGGCCAAGGAGGAAGCGGCGGCGGCCAAGGUGAAGGAGGCAGAGGAGGCUCAAGCGAAGAAAGCCAAGGAGACAGAGGAGUCAGAGGUGAAGAAAGGCAAGGAGGAAGACAAAGAGAAGGACAAAGCACCCGAGGCAGCCAAUGGGAAUAUUAAGCAAGUGUGUAACAAUACAAAAAGCUACUGCAACAGGAAUCACACGCCUUACCUACAGCAAAAGGCUAACAAGUUAGUUUAA
rnacentral:rRNA from 1 species